rnacentral:rRNA from 1 species
GCCAGCAGCCAUGUCACCCUGCGACUCACAUCUGGUGAAGCUCAGCAGGAGUGAGCCUGGUCAGUACCUGGCUGGGAGACCUCCUGGGAAAAACUAAAGUUGCUGCUGGAA